rnacentral:rRNA from 2 species
UACGUAGGUGGCGAGCGUUGUCCGGAAUUAUUGGGCGUAAAGCGCGCGUAGGCGGGAUAGUCAGUCUGUUGUAAAAGUGCGGGGCUCAACCCCGUAAGGUCAAUGGAAACUGCUAUUCUUGAGUGCAGGAGAGGAAAGUGGAAUUCCCAGUGUAGCGGUGAAAUGCGUAGAUAUUGGGAGGAACACCAGUGGCGAAGGCGACUUUCUGGACUGUGUCUGACGCUGAGGCGCGAAAGCCAGGGGAGCGAACGGG